ACAGUUGGCUUCUCGUUUACCGAAAGUACCGUUUGACAGUGCGUUUAAUACGAGUUCUAUUUUCUGAGCCCGACAGCCAGGCGAGUAAGCGAGAUAGCCGCAAUGUCUAUGCACGGGUAGGUGUUUGUGUUUUCUGUCUGCAUGGGUGGAGGCGGGAGCGAGUUAAUUCAUUUUAUGAGUCGCUGAUGUCGGCGUCGCAGUCAAUGGCCUCGCGGCCGAUGGUGAAGCUCGAGGACGACCGCACAACUAACGGCAAAACAAAUGCACUGACACAAAACGAAACGACUAUGAUAAGGAGGGAGAGAAGUGUGGCAGGGGCUAUUGGCGCCUACCUUGGCUAUCCCGUUCGUCCCGCUGCUACUUGCACUUGCACUUCCACUGCUGCUGCGUCGCUGCUGCUGCCUCCUCUGCUGGCGUUCGUGUGUGCUGCACUCACUGCUUCUUCUUCUCUUUCUUCCUUACUUUCGCUCAAUUCGACUGAAAACAUAGAAUUUUUUUUCAAAUCGUUUAAUUGGAUUGAUUCACAGUUUUCUUUGUUUUUUUUUUUACACAAGACUUGUUUUUGGACUGGCGCCCCGCGCUUCACCUCAACCGCAGAGGCACACUCAUGCACAGGCACACAAACACACUCACAUUUUUUGGGCCACACGCAAGCGCAACAUAUUUACGCAAUGGUAUUAACAAUUAUAAUACAUUUCUUCAUUUGUUAAAGCCAUUAAAAUCAUAUGAGUAAUGGUUAAUCAUUCGAUGAACUAAA